GACGAACGCUGGCGGCGUGCCUAAUACAUGCAAGUAGAACGCUGAAGAGAGGAGCUUGCUCUUCUUGGAUGAGUUGCGAACGGGUGAGUAACGCGUAGGUAACCUGCCUUGUAGCGGGGGAUAACUAUUGGAAACGAUAGCUAAUACCGCAUAACAAUGGGUGACUCAUGUCAUUUAUUUGAAAGGGGCAAAUGCUCCACUACAAGAUGGACCUGCGUUGUAUUAGCUAGUAGGUGAGGUAACGGCUCACCUAGGCGACGAUACAUAGCCGACCUGAGAGGGUGAUCGGCCACACUGGGACUGAGACACGGCCCAGACUCCUACGGGAGGCAGCAGUAGGGAAUCUUCGGCAAUGGGGGCAACCCUGACCGAGCAACGCCGCGUGAGUGAAGAAGGAUUUCGGUUCGUAAAGCUCUGUUGUUAGGGAAGAAUGAUUGUGUAGUAACUAUACACAGUAGAGACGGUACCUAACCAGAAAGCCACGGCUAACUACGUGCCAGCAGCCGCGGUAAUACGUAGGUGGCAAGCGUUGUCCGGAAUUAUUGGGCGUAAAGCGCGCGCAGGUGGUUUAAUAAGUCUGAUGUGAAAGCCCACGGCUCAACCGUGGAGGGUCAUUGGAAACUGUUAAACUUGAGUGCAGGAGAGAAAAGUGGAAUUCCUAGUGUAGCGGUGAAAUGCGUAGAGAUUAGGAGGAACACCAGUGGCGAAGGCGGCUUUUUGGCCUGUAACUGACACUGAGGCGCGAAAGCGUGGGGAGCAAACAGG
rnacentral:rRNA from 1 species